rnacentral:rRNA from 1 species
UACGUAGGGAGCGAGCGUUGUCCGGAAUUAUUGGGCGUAAAGAGCGUGUAGGCGGUUCGGUAAGUCUGUUGUGAAAACCCCGGGCUCAACCCUGGGCGUGCAAUGGAUACUGCCGGGCUAGAGGGUGGUAGAGGCAAGAGGAAUUCCGGGUGUAGCGGUGAAAUGCGCAGAUAUUCGGAGGAACACCAGUGGCGAAGGCGGCUUCCUGGGCCACACCUGACGCUGAGACGCGAAAGCUAGGGGAGCAAACAGG